GAUGAACGCUGGCGGCGUGCCUAAUACAUGCAAGUCGAGCGAACGGACGAGAAGCUUGCUUUUCUGAUGUUAGCGGCGGACGGGUGAGUAACACGUGGAUAACCUACCUAUAAGACUGGGAUAACUUCGGGAAACCGGAGCUAAUACCGGAUAAUAUUUUGAACCGCAUGGUUCAAUAGUGAAAGACGGUCUUGCUGUCACUUAUAGAUGGAUCCGCGCUGCAUUAGCUAGUUGGUAAGGUAACGGCUUACCAAGGCAACGAUGCAUAGCCGACCUGAGAGGGUGAUCGGCCACACUGGACCUGAGACACGGUCCAAACUCCUACGGGAGGAAGCGGUAGGAAAUCUUCCGAAAUGGGCGAAAGCCUAACGAGGCAACGCGGCGUGGGUAAUGAAGGUCUUCGGAUCGUAAACCUCUGUUAUUGGGAAAGAAAAUAUGUGUAAGUAACUGUGAACAUCUUGACGGUACCUAAUCAGAAAGCCACGGCUAACUACGU
rnacentral:rRNA from 1 species